GAUGAACGCUGGCGGCGUGCCUAAUACAUGCAAGUAGAACGCUGAAGGAGGAGCUUGCUCUUCUGGAUGAGUUGCGAACGGGUGAGUAACGCGUAGGUAACCUGCCUGGUAGCGGGGGAUAACUAUUGGAAACGAUAGCUAAUACCGCAUGACAACAGUUAUUGCAUGAUAACUGUUUAAAAGGGGCAACUGCUCCACUACCAGAUGGACCUGCGUUGUAUUAGCUAGUUGGUGAGGUAACGGCUCACCAAGGCGACGAUACAUAGCCGACCUGAGAGGGUGAUCGGCCACACUGGGACUGAGACACGGCCCAGACUCCUACGGGAGGCAGCAGUAGGGAAUCUUCGGCAAUAGACGGAAGUCUGUCCGAGCAACGCCGCGUGAGUGAAGAAGGUUUUCGGAUCGUAAAGCUCUGUUGUAAGAGAAGAACGAGUGUGAGAGUGGAAAGUUCACACUGUGACGGUAUCUUACCAGAAAGGGACGGCUAACUACGUG
rnacentral:rRNA from 1 species